rnacentral:lncRNA from 1 species
CAGGUGGAGGCCGCCAUCGUGGACCGGAAAAGGUAGGCUCUUCCGGAUGACCAUUAUUCCAGUGAGGAUGGGGGGGGGGCACGUCAUCGACAGGAAGUGAGAGACCAGCAGGUGGGGCUGAUGCCUUUGGGGAAGAAGAAAGUGGAAGAGACAGCCCACCUGCGCCAUCUUUUUUAAGAGGCUUUUGUCCACCAUAUUUAGAGCACUCAGGGGCUCUACGCUCGCCAGUUUGGGCUGGAAACGCCUCAGACGCCUUUACGGCAUGAGGACCUUUUACUAAGGAGGCCUGUACCGGCCAUUCUUGACUCAUGACAUAACCCACAAUAGGGAUCCUUACCUGAAACUUCAGUAUUUACCUGGUAUACCUGAGGCCCCUGUUCAGGCACCAAUUGUUUUUGUCCACGAGCCCGCUCACGUAACAAGGUUCAGGGGCCCGGACUGGGAGGGCAAGGGCACGGAAUCACCACGCGGACUCCGAGGAGGUUUCUGGAACGCUUCCGUUUUAUGAGGAAAUGCACAGACUUAUACAGGGUGCAAAUAAUCUUCCUGGAUCUCCUCUCAGCUGUGUUAUUACUUGUGUGAGGUGUCAGGAACUAAUAAGGAAGCUGGAUAGAGGACAGAGCGUCACAAGCCUAGGAGACCCUUCUGGAUGCUAA